CUAUAAAUUUGGGAUUUACAUCUCUUAACAAUCAAUGUCGAGCCAUCUCUAAGGAUACGGGGCCGCACAAUCAGCUGCUGCUGAUGCCGCCGCCACAGCCGGCCUCUCCAGCGUCUACACCUCAUGUGCCCUAAACGACUCCUACCUAUCCGACCUGACCCUACGGUACCUUUCCUGGUCGGACCCUUCCGCCUCCGCCACCGACCACCAUAGCCGAAGUAGCUCUAUGUAUCUGGCGACGUCGCAUUUGAUGUCCCACCGUUCCCGAUGUCGAGCCCGGCGUUCUUGGCGUCAAACGCCCCUCUGAAGGUUCACUUGUCGCUCCAAGUGCAUUCCUUUCUGAGAGACCUGGAGAGCCAGAUUGUCCAUACUUUAUAAAGACUCAAAAUGCAAAUUUGGUAUGAGGUGCAAGUUCAAUCAUCCGAAGGACAAACUAGCUGCUGCUGUUGCUUCAGAAAAUUCUAAUGUCUUUGCCUUACCUGAGAGGCCUUCUGAACUCCCAUGUGCAUUCUACUUGAAAAUGGGGCAAUGUAAGUUUGGUCCAACCUGAAAAUUUAAUCAUCCGAAAGAUAUCCAGAUACCAUCAGCCAAGCAAGAGAAUAAAAUUGGAGAAAUUGGGACAACUAUUCAUCUAGAGGGAACUGGAUUUGCUGUGAAGCCUCCUGCACUAUCAUUUAACUCCAAGGGUCUUCCUGUAAGUCCGGGUGAACCCGAUUGUCCAUUCUACCUGAAAACUGGAAGUUGCAAGUAUGGAGCCACUUGGGCACGACUAAAGAGAAUAGAAAAGGCACUAUGAGACGAUCUUGUUGCUGCCUCCACCACGCACUGUUGGCAAUACCUUCUUUGGUGAGAAGAAGGCCACGCAGCUUACGACACUAGUUCUCCAAUUCUCGUUGCCUAAGGCCUAGAGCAUCAAUUGCAACUUUUACUUCAUCAAAGCGGGAUGAUAUCUUUAUGCUAUGGAUGAUCCCUGCCCCAAAAACGGCACACCAAAUUCCUCAACAAGUUAAGUAGGAAGUUUGUAAUUAGUAAUCUUACGGCAUGAAUUCUUUAUAAAGGACUGCAACGUAAAAAAAGCCCUUCAUGUGAUCCACGAAGACCUGAUAAUCAACUUGACUUGAAUUUUAUUGAGAAAAUUCUCAGUGCAGUCAGGACCCCAAAUCAGAUCAAUACCUCUCCUUAUAUUUAAAGAAAGACCCGGAGUCAUUGAAGGAUCCGACCACAUCACAUCGCCAGGAAUCAAGUUGGUACCUUCUCAUGGA